rnacentral:rRNA from 1 species
UGGGGAAUAUUGCACAAUGGGCGCAAGCCUGAUGCAGCCAUGCCGCGUGUGUGAAGAAGGCCUUCGGGUUGUAAAGCACUUUCAGCGGGGAGGAAGGCGAUAAGGUUAAUAACCUUGUCGAUUGACGUUACCCGCAGAAGAAGCACCGGCUAACUCCGUGCCAGCAGCCGCGGUAAUACGGAGGGUGCAAGCGUUAAUCGGAAUUACUGGGCGUAAAGCGCACGCAGGCGGUCUGUCAAGUCGGAUGUGAAAUCCCCGGGCUUAACCUGGGAACUGCAUUCGAAACUGGCAGGCUAGAGUCUUGUAGAGGGGGGUAGAGUUCCAGGUGUAGCGGUGAAAUGCGUAGAGAUCUGGAGGAAUACCGGUGGCGAAGGCGGCCCCCUGGACAAAGACUGACGCUCAGGUGCGAAAGCGUGGGGAGCAAACAGG